CCUACGGGAGGCUGCAGUGGGGAAUAUUGCACAAUGGGCGCAAGCCUGAUGCAGCCAUGCCGCGUGUGUGAAGAAGGCCUUCGGGUUGUAAAGCACUUUCAGCGGGGAGGAAGGCGGUGAGGUUAAUAACCUUGUCGAUUGACGUUACCCGCAGAAGAAGCACCGGCUAACUCCGUGCCAGCAGCCGCGGUAAUACGGAGGGUGCAAGCGUUAAUCGGAAUUACUGGGCGUAAAGCGCACGCAGGCGGUCUGUCAAGUCGGAUGUGAAAUCCCCGGGCUCAACCUGGGAACUGCAUUCGAAAGUGGCGGGGUAGAGUCUUGUAGAGGGGGGUAGAAUUCCAGGUGUAGCGGGGAAAUGCGUAGAGAUCUGGAGGAAUACCGGUGGCGAAGGCGGCCCCCUGGACAAAGACUGACGCUCAGGUGCGAAAGCGUGGGGAGCAAACAGGAUUAGAUACCCGGGUAGUC
rnacentral:rRNA from 1 species